rnacentral:rRNA from 1 species
UACGUAGGGUGCGAGCGUUGUCCGGAAUUAUUGGGCGUAAAGGGCUCGUAGGCGGUCUGUCGCGUCGGGAGUGAAAUCCUACGGCUUAACUGUGGGCUUGCUUUCGAUACGGGCAGACUAGAGGUAUGCAGGGGAGAACGGAAUUCCUGGUGUAGCGGUGAAAUGCGCAGAUAUCAGGAGGAACACCGGUGGCGAAGGCGGUUCUCUGGGCAUGAUCUGACGCUGAGGAGCGAAAGUGUGGGGAGCGAACAGG